GCUUCAAACACCAAAAAAUUAGACUCGGGAAUUUUGAAAGCGUUGAAACGUGCUUCGAGGCUGUCACCAUCCCUCAAACGAUCCAAGCCAGGGAAUACGUAGUUGUCCACUGGACAGCUGUUUUCAACAGAUUACAUUGGUGGAUUAACUCUGGCAUACAUAUACCAGUGAUCAGCUACUCAACCCAUUCGCUACUACGAUUCUCACUUGGCGACCGUAAAAAGAUUCUUAUUUUUGUACUAGCGUUUAUAGUCCAUAAAAUUAUACUUUUGAAAAAUUUCAUUUCGAAAAACAUCGUAGAAAAAUUUGAGUGUAUGUGGGUUAAAUAGAUCAGGUAAAUAGGUCGGACGAUCAGGUAAUUUUGGCCUAAAGAUCAGGACUAAUGGAUUAUGUAAAUUAGGUAGAUUAGAUGGUAUAAGUGAAUUACGUGAAUCAGGUAGAUUUAAAUGAAUCAGAUAUUUGAUGUACAUAUUCCAUACAGAUUAGGAAAGCUGAAGAAUUUAAUUUAAUAAAUUAGAUGAUAAGCUAGAGAAAUAUUGAAACGAAUAUUGAAAAUCGAUAAAGGACAAAUAUAGAUUGUAAUGCAUAAAUCUGUGCAAUCUAUAAAGAAAUGAAAAUAUUGUGUAUCUCUAAUUUCACAAAUCAUAAUGAUUUUAUCUUGAGUGUUUUAUAUGUAUAGUACUUUUGUCGUUUGUCCAUUGAAACCGAAAGCACCCUGUAGAAGUGAACAACAAAGAUCCAUUACGUUGAUUGCUCCUGUUGUUACUAGGCCAAUCAAGUUCUUUUCUUACGCUGGAUGCAAAGGUAGAAUAUCUUUCUUCGUUAUUUUAAUAACGAAGAUUCAAUUUUAUCAUAAUUACUACCAUUUUAUUGAAACACUUAUUAAAAAUUAUUUGAUUCUUUCAAAAACUAUGAGAAGAAUAAAGCUAUGUCGAAUUUUCAGAUCACACCUUACUCAUUAAUAAAUAAAAAUUGUAAUAAUGAAUGCAACGUUUACCCGUAUCUGUCUAUGAGCUGAACGCUUCUUCCAGAGUAAGGAUCUCUUGCUAUGACGUUGGUAGCAAAGAUAUCAGUUACAUAAUUGUACCUAUAAAAAACAUUAACAAAAUAUUACAACAUAAAUCACAGUUCUUUUUAGAUGAAUAAUGUUCGUGUCACAUACCCAUCCUGAGCUUCCAGCCUAAAAGUGAGUGGAUCGCCAACAGCUAUGGUCGUCGUAGGUCUGCCUUGAUACAGGAUCAGUAAACGUACUCGAGAACUUAGGGUAUUUUCUGCUGGAAGGUACUCGAUCGGAAUCGGAGACCCUGAUCUACACAACAUAAAUGCGAAUUUUAUUAGCAUAAUCGAAAUGAAAGUAUAUAUUGAUUUUUUUGAAAUAUAAGAAACAUAAAAAAAGUAGACACUUUAAUAUUUCGUUUCACAUGAAAACAAAAAAAAUUGUUUUUCUUCCUUAUUCAAAAUUAACUUGUCAGCACACCGACAUUAAUAAUCUUCCUUUAAAUUAUCAGUUUCAUCCAUCUCAAGUGAAACAAGUGUCUCUUUGCAACUUUCUACGAGGUAUAUUCAAGAUUUAGAAUCAUAGAAUCAGGAGAUUUUUAACGAUGGAACUCGAACAAUAUUAAAAUAAAUUUAUCGAGUGUGCUUGCACCAGGAUCCAUGUUUAACUGAAUGCAACAUAUUCUGCAUUCUAUACUCGAUGACGGAUCGGACUAUUUAAUUAAGUGCACCGGGUGCAAGGCACGGUCUCUCAAUCGAUAUGACCUGGCAUACCCGGCACCGAUGUAGCCGGAUGUGACGACAGCUUCGCCAGGGCCUCGAAAUAGACAGAAAUCCUGUGGUGUUCUCGAGCAGCGACGAAGUAAUUUUCUUACUCUUUGAGUGCCACAUUCGGGGUAACCCUGGGGACCACUGAUUCGAAGAACAUUUACGGUUCCCCCGUUUCCGCGGAAGAAGCAGCGAUCGUAAUAGCCCCAGUCAAAUAAGAAACAAAAUCCAACACCCUUCCACAUCGUUAGAAACCAGAGGAAUAAUCGACAUCAUCGGAUGUGACCAAACAAAAAGUAAAAAAAAAAAAGAUUUCGGAAAAUCAGACGGUUUAUUUUACUAAACUCAGUCCAGAUGACAAUGUCUAAUACAAUAAUUGAAAUUUGCAUC